GGCUGAAAUUCGCCUUCAUGAAGCUGGAAUUGCUAGUAAUCGCAGAUCAGCAUGCUGCGGUGAAUACGUUCCCGGGCCUUGUACACACCGCCCGUCACACCAUGGGAGUCGGUAACACCCGAAGUCGGUAGCCUAACCGUAAGGAGGGCGCCGCCGAAGGUGGGAUUGAUGACUGGGGUGAAGUCGUAACAAGGUAUC
rnacentral:rRNA from 1 species